CCGGCUCCCAUGCCGCCUCGGCAGAAGCAACCAGCUACAAUGUCUCAGCAAGCGUGGCGGCUAGCGCAAAUAUAUUCGGUGAAGAAACCGGCUGCUGUGCCUCAGCAGCAGAAGCAACCAACUGCCAUGCCACAGACGCCUUAGCAAGUGUGGCAUCCAGCCCAAAUUCACCCAGCAGCAGAAGCAACCGGCCCCCAUUCCUCAGCAAGUGUGGCAUCCCGCUUCAAUGCCGCAGAAACAACCUACUGCCAUGCCUCAGCACCAGAAGCCUCAGCAAGUGUGGCAUCCAGCUCUGAUGCAAAAGCAGCCGGACGCUGAUCCUAAGCAACGUCAGCAAGUGUGUUAUAAACCUCCAAUUUCAAAUGCCGCAGAAUCAACCGGCCCCCAUUCCCCAAAAAGUGUGGCAUCCAUCUCCAAUACCUCCGCAGCAGAUGCAACUGACUGCCAUGCCCCAACAAGUGUGACAUCUGGUUUAAAUGCCCCAGCAACAAAAGCCACCGGCCACUGAGCCUCGGCGGCAGACUCAACCGACAGCCUUGCCUUAGCAAAUGUGGCGUCCAGCUUGAAUGCAGCAGAAACAACCGACUGCCAUGCCUCAGAAGCAAGUGUGGCAUUCAGCCCAAAUUUCCAAAAGCAGCAGAAUCAUUCGGCCCCUACGCUCCAGCAAAUGUGUGGCAUCCAGCUCCGACGCAAAAGCAGCUGGACGCUGAUCCUAAGCAGGCUCCGCUAGUGUGGUAUCCAGCUCUUAUGCCCCAGCAGCAGAAGCAACAGACUGCCAUGCCUCAGCAAGUCUAACAUCCAGCCCAAAUGCCCCAGAAGCAACUGGCCCCAUGUCUCAGCAGGAGCACUACAAAAGCACUGAAGAUGGUGCCACUGGUAGCUCUCAGGCCAUUAUCGUUGAACAGUCAGUUCCCAUCCCAAUCCGUUCCUACAGUUCCAAAUCGCACUACGAGAAUGGCAAAACUGUCUUCUCCCAAACCCGCUACACUCCUGGGAACAUUGUAUGUUAACAGUGGAAAAGCUCCCAAUGACAGUGAUGUUGGCAUAUUUGAACCAAGCACAUACCCACCACUAGUAAAGGAUCCUACAAGGAAAAUCUAAUGGUGGCUUCAUCCUUUAGAAGCUGAUGGUUUCAGUCAUGCUUUUGUUUUGACCAGGAAGUUGCCGGUGCUCUAGCUACUCUUGCAUGUUUUAAUCAAUAAAAAUGUG